GACGAACGCUGGCGGCGUGCUUAACACAUGCAAGUCGAACGGAAAGGCCCUGCUUUUGUGGGGUGCUCGAGUGGCGAACGGGGGAGUAACACGUGAGUAACCUGCCCUUGACUGUGGGAUAACUUCAGGAAACUGGGGCUAAUACCGGAUAGGAGCUCCUGCUGCAUGGUGGGGGUUGGAAAGAUUCGGCGGUUGGGGAUGGACUCGCGGCUUAUCAGCUGGUUGGUGGGGUAGGGGCUUACCAAGGCUUUGACGGGUAGCCGGCAUGAGAGGGUGACCGGCGACAUUGGGCCUGCGAUACGGCCCAGAAUGCUACGGGCGGCAGCGGUGGAGAAUAUUGCACAAUGGGCGGAAGUCUGAUGCAAAAACGCCGCGUGCGGGAUGCCGGCCUUCUGGUUGUAAACCGAUUUCGCCUGUGACGAAGAGUGAGUGACGGUAAUGGGUAAAGAAGCACCGGCUAACUACGUG
rnacentral:rRNA from 1 species